rnacentral:rRNA from 1 species
AUGACCAUCCUAUCCUUUAUUAUGAAGGGGUAUGGAGAGAUCUUCUCCGUUGAUGUGUUUAGGGAGUUGUACCAGAAAAAGUGGAACCAUAUUCGCAGGCUCAUGGAUGAGCAUGAGGCAUGGAAGGAAGAUAAUGAGGCGAUGAGGAGUUUAAUUGAAGAGUAUUUUCAAAAUGUUUUUACAUCGGAAGUACAUGAGCCGAAUGUUGAGGCUCUUGAUAAAGUAAAACCAAAGGUAACAUCUUAUAUGAACGAUGCGCUUUUGUCCCCCUAUACAAAGGAAGAAGUGAAAUGUGGUUUGCUUAGCAUCAGUGACCUAAAAGCACUAGGACCGAAUGGCCUACAUGCGGUGUUUUAUAAGAAAUUUUGGCAUCUUGUUGGAGAUGAUUUGGUAACAGAAGGUCUUGCUGCAGUGAACUCUGGUCUAAUCCUAGAAGGAUGGAAUACUACAAUGUGUCUGAUUAGCUUAUUACAAGCAGUGGGAGGAAAGCUAUGCAGUGUAUUCUUGCAAACCGGCACAUCGCUACUUCCGAUCAAUGUCCAAUCUGUAAAACUCAUGCGGAAGAUGUGGCCCAUACACUGUUCAAGUGUGGAUGGGCCGGGGAGAUUUGGAUGGCCCUUGGUCUACAUGAAUACUAGAUGUGGCAGGAAUAGUGGAAAGUUCAGGAACAGAAGACAACACGCCUUAAAUGUGGACACGUCUUUUUCAAAAGAUGAUCACGUGGAUUUUUGUGGUGCAGUCCUUCGUGAUAAUAGAGGUUUAUUUAUGGGAGCUUCAACUGCGAAAUUGGAAAAUAUUUCAGAUGUUGUUUCAGCUGAGGCUGCUAUAGUAGUUGAAGGACUGAAGCUGAGAUUCGAAUAUGAUUGCUCAUACGCUAGCUCAACAGGACGUGUUGAUCCACCGGCUGUGUGGCCGGACUCGCCUUCCCAUUUUAUCAUUCCUUUAUUAGCAGGCGACGUCACGCGGUUGGACUCGCCUUCCCAUUUUAUCAUUCCUUUAUUAGCAGGCGACAAAAAAACAUUGCUCCGUGGGUCGCAUCACGAGCCACCGACGCAGGAACAGGCUGCACGCUUCAACCAGCAUGGGAGCAUAUUAUGUCGUAUCGCCAUUGCCUCCAAGCUUGACUGGUUCAGCCGGGCGCACCAAGCCGAGCGCUUCCUCGAGUCCCGUCGGAGCGGCGCGCUACUGACGACGAGUCAAGAGUCAAGACUGACUGCUAUACUAUUCGCGAUGAAGUCCUUUUUGCUCGCAAACCCAGGAAAGACCUUUGUCCCGUUGGUGUGGAACCAGUUCAUCGGAGGUCCCACGCUUCCCCCCUCAUUCAGGAUCCUUCGCGCCUGCUGCGAUCUGGAUUCGGAUGAUCAAUCGAGCGGCUUUUUGUCCAGUUCUUCCUGGGUGAUCCUCUAUCCGGUUGGGGAUUUUCCUUCGAUCGGCUUCUCCUCCUAA